rnacentral:rRNA from 1 species
CACGUAGGGCGCAAGCGUUGUCCGGAAUUAUUGGGCGUAAAGAGCUCGUAGGCGGUUUGUCGCGUCUGCUGUGAAAACUCGGGGCUUAACCCCGGGCCUGCAGUGGGUACGGGCAGACUAGAGUGCGGUAGGGGAGACUGGAAUUCCUGGUGUAGCGGUGAAAUGCGCAGAUAUCAGGAGGAACACCCGUGGCGAAAGCGGCUCUCUGGGACGGUACUGACGCUGAGACGCGAAAGCGUGGGGAGCAAACAGG